GGGAACUGUUGCCCAGGGCCCGUGUAUCCUUGACGAAGGUUGCACGUUCACGAAUCUCAGAUGCAAGGGUCUGGAAGCGUGCACGUGAUUAUUUGGGUCUGAUGAAUGAACCUGCUAUAUGUUUGUCUAUCUUGGGCCCAUGUGAAUCUCCAAGUAAAGGGAUACAGAAACUUGGCACAGUGAAUUGGAGUGAAGGGGGAACUAAAAUGAUUUCGCACCUUCCAUUUUACCUUUUAGGUGCACAAGAAGGUCCGCCCCAUGAUUUCUCAUUGAUGGAUGUUCUUCCUGGAAGUUAGUUUAUCUCCAUGAGUUGCUUGUAAUUCACGAUACAUGUGUUUUGAGCAAAGAAGAUUCGAUAAUCUGGUGGUGCUGUUCAAAGAUAUGGAGUUUCUUCGUCUUCCCG
rnacentral:misc_RNA from 1 species